rnacentral:lncRNA from 1 species
AAUAAGAGAAGGUUAUAAAGACUAUGGAGGAGAUGAUGAAGAAGGUGAGGAGAAGGAGACAUUUUUUAAAUUAGGCUAAAUUACAUAAAACCCUCCUGUCAAAACUCGAUUUUUCACUUUUCCCCCCUAUCAUUUAAAAACCUACACUUUGUCUUUGUUUCCUUGUAAAAUAAAAAAUGUUCACUUCGCCCCCUGCCGUUAGUAAUCCGUUAGGGUUCCGUUUAUAAAGUAUUAUUAUAUAUUUUUUUAUGCCAAAAAUGCCCUCAUCUUUAUCUCCUGUGAACAUGGGUGAGGGGCAAAAUGGUUAUUUUAUCAUCACAGUUCACACCGUACCCUUAUGUGAAUAUUUUUCAUUUUACAAGGGGGCAAAGUAUAGGUUUUUAAAUGGCAUAGGGAGAAAGUGAAAAAUCGGGUUUUUAUUGGGAGGUUUUCUGUAAUUUAGCCUUUAAAUUA